AAUUUGUGGGUGGCCUACGAGAUGUACAUUUCCACCUAGAUCAACAUGAGUAUGUGAAAUCUCUCAACCAAAGAACAACAACAAGCAAACUUCACACAGCAAGGCAGAAAUUCAACACCACGCCAAAACCUAGCUGGCUGACGUACUGACUGUUUGGGACAUCGUGCCUUCUUUUUCUGGCGUGACAUCCAAAUCAUCAAAACACGGUCGCUGCGAUCUUGAGCUCGGGAUCGGAGUGGUCAAGUUGAGUUCUUCUGGCUCAUCGGGGAGAGACAUCCUGUCAGACUUCAACUCUUCUGGUUCGUCUACGUGAGAACAACUACAAGAGCAUACACAGACCAGCAACUGGAGUGUGAACUGAUCUAUGGCGGCUGGUCUCAACAGUGCUAUGCCUCUCCAGUCUCGUGUCCGCCUCCGAUUGCAG